GUCCUUUUGUUAAAAAUUUAAGGUCUAACCUGCCCACUGAAAAUUUAAAUGGCCGCAGUAUUUUGACUGUGCAAAGGUAGCAUAAUCAUUAGUUUUUUAAUUAAAAGCUAGUAUGAAGGGUUGAAUGAGAAAAAAACUAUCUCUAUUUAAUUUUAAAAGAUAAUUUUAUUUUUAAGUUAAAAAGCUUAAAUUAUUUUAAAAGACGAGAAGACCCUAUAGAGUUUAAUAAAAUUAAGUUAUUAAAGAGUUUAGUAAUAUUUUAUAUAAAUUAUUUAAUUUUAUUUAAUUGGGGUGAUUGAAAAAUUAAAAAAACUUUUUUUGUAUAAAAACAUUAAUUUAUGAAAUUUUGAUCCAUUAAUUAUGAUUAAAAGAUAAAAUUACCUUAGGGAUAACAGCGUAAUAUUUUUUUAGAGUUCAAAUCGAAAAAAGAGAUUGCGACCUCGAUGUUGGAUUAAAAUUAAUUCUUGGUGUAGAAGUUAAGAAUAUUUGGUCUGUUCGACCAUUAAAAUUU
rnacentral:rRNA from 1 species